CCAUUAUCUAAUUAGCUAUGAAAGUCCAAUUAAUAAAUUAACUGGCCCAUGAACAUUACUGUCCCAAACAAUUAUUCUGAGUCCACUUAAAAAAAAUUUAGAAUUAAAAACAAAUCAUUCUAGAAUCUUCAUAACAUGAAAGCAGAUUAAUACUCUCUAUCAUUUCUCUUUUUCUUUCCUCACGCAAUGCUCUCUAUCGCUCCCUCCUCUCUGUCUCCUUCGGCAAACAUCGCCGGUUCUCGCCGCCUCCGGCGUGGCGAGGCCGGCUCCUCAUCUUCUCCUUCCUCUCUAUUCCUUAUUUCUUUCUCUAAUUCUAAGAUUCCCAAUUUCUAGGGUUUUCUGCCUCCCUUUCCCCUCUGAAAUUCGCCCCUCCGGCGAGUGCUGCCUCUCCGUUGUCUCUGUCACGCCGCCGCCUCUUCUGACUCAGGAAUCGGUGAUUCAAGAUGGUUUGAGAUGGUUUCAUCGGCAGUUCAUCUACAGCCCAAGACUCCCUUUUAAAGACUCAGCCUUUUAUUAUUGAAUUAACUAUUGUAACUAAAUGUAUGCUGUAAGUGUUAAAGAAAAUUGAUGUUAUCUCUACUAUUCUUGAUUAC